rnacentral:rRNA from 1 species
GUGCCAGCAGCCGCGGUAAGACAGAGGGUGCAAACGUUGCUCGGAAUUACUGGGCGUAAAGCGCGUGUAGGCGGACGGGUAAGUCAGAUGUGAAAUCCCUGGGCUCAACCCAGGAACUGCAUUUGAAACUGCCCGCCUUGAGUAGUGGAGAGGGAAGCGGAAUUCCUGGUGUAGAGGUGAAAUUCGUAGAUAUCAGGAGGAACACCGGUGGCGAAGGCGGCUUCCUGGACACUUACUGACGCUGAGACGCGAAAGCGUGGGGAGCAAACAGGAUUAGAAACCCCCGUAGUCC